AUUGAACGCUGGCGGCAGGCCUAACACAUGCAAGUCGAGCGGCAGCGGGAAAGUAGCUUGCUACUUUUGCCGGCGAGCGGCGGACGGGUGAGUAAUGCCUGGGGAUCUGCCCAAUCGAGGGGGAUAACUACUGGAAACGGUAGCUAAUACCGCAUACGCCCUACGGGGAAAGCAGGGGACCUUCGGGCCUUGCGCGAUUGGAUGAACCCAGGUGGGAUUAGCUAGUUGGUGAGGUAAUGGCUCACCAAGGCGACGAUCCCUAGCUGGUCUGAGAGGAUGAUCAGCCACACUGGAACUGAGACACGGUCCAGACUCCUACGGGAGGCAGCAGUGGGGAAUAUUGCACAAUGGGGGAAACCCUGAUGCAGCCAUGCCGCGUGUGUGAAGAAGGCCUUCGGGUUGUAAAGCACUUUCAGCGAGGAGGAAAGGUUGGUAGCUAAUAACUGCCAGCUGUGACGUUACUCGCAGAAGAAGCACCGGCUAACUCCGUGCCAGCCGCCGCAGUAAUAC
rnacentral:rRNA from 1 species